UUCUAUGCUAGAUGUGAGACACACAGAGUGAUACAAAGUAGCAUGUGAUGUAGACCCUUAAUCCUCAUUCUAGUGGGGGAGAUAAAAUGUUUUCUGUACAUUUAACCCAGAAGGUGAGUGGCAGAAUAGCAUGUAAGAACCAAUGAAAGAAGUAAUGAUUAGUGAAUAAGAAUUGUUGCAUUUGUCCCUUUAUACCAGGAGGAACCAUUGGAUGAAAGCUCAGUGAAGAAAAUGAUCCUUACAUUUGAAAAAAGAUCAUACAAAAACCAAGAGUUGCGGAUCAAGUUUCCAGACAAUCCAGAGAAGGUCUUGCCCUAGUUACAGCAAAGAUCACUGAUCAAAGAUCACCAUGUCAUCCUAUCUAAUAAAAGAGUAAUAUGCAGAUUAAUCAUCACUUUGUGAUAAAGAUGGCAGUGCCCAUAGCCAACAAGGAGGGAAUAUGCAAAUUGAUGCAACAAGGCAAGAGGUGGAAGGCGGCUCUGGCCUGAGCGAAGGUGGAAAGGCAACUCGGGCCGGCACAAAGGCGGUGCUGGAAGGAAGGCCUAUUCUUGCAUGAAUCUUCGUGCAUCGGGCCUCUAGUAUAUAAUAAUGAAAAAGUUUGAAAUAUUGCAAGAAUUACCAAAAUGUGGCACAGAGACAUGAAGUGAGCAAAUGCUGUUGGAAAAAUGGUGCCAAUGGACUUGCUUGAUGGAGGGUUACCACAAACCUCUACUUUGUAAAAAAAAAAAAAAAAUGCAGUAUCUGUGAAGCUCAAUAAAGCAAAACUCAAUAAAA